rnacentral:rRNA from 1 species
AAUUAAUGCUGAUGGUAUGCCUAAUACAUGCAAGUCGAACGGACCUUGGUUUCGGCCAAGGUUAGUGGCAAACGGGUGAGUAAUACAUAUCUAACAUGCCCCUCUGUGGGGGAUAGCCACUUGAAAAAGUGAUUAAUACCCCAUAGGAAGCUUUAUCCAUGAUUUAGCUUUUAAAGCCUUCGGGCGCUGAGGGAUUGGGAUAUGCUCUAUUAGCUAGUUGGCGGGAUAAAAGCCCACCAAGGCAAUGAUAGAUAGCUGGUCUUAGAGGAUGAACAGCCACAAUGGGAUUGAGAUACGGCCCAUAUUCCUACGGGAAGCAGCAGUAGGGAAUCUUCCACAAUGGACGAAAGUCUGAUGGAGCAAUACCAUGUGAACGAUGAAGGCCUUUUUGGUUGUAAAGUUCUUUUACGAGGGAUAAUUAUGAUAGUACUUCGUGAAUAAGUGACAGCAAACUAUGUGCCAGCAGCUGCGGUAAUACAUAGGUCGCAAGCAUUAUUCGGAUUUAUUGGGCGUAAAGCAAGCGCAGGCGGAUGUGUAAGUUCUGUGUUAAAUGCAGCUACUCAAUAGUUGUAUGCACCGAAUACUACAUGUCUAGAUUGUGGUAGGGAGUUUCGGAAUUAAGCAUGGAGCGGUGGAAUGUGUAGAUAUGCUUAAGAACACCAGAGGCGAAGGCGGAAACUUAGGCCAUAAAUGACGCUUAGGCUUGAAAGUGUGGGGAGCAAAUGGGAUUAGAUACCCCAGUAGUCCACACCGUAAACGAUGGGUAUUAGAUAUUAGGGCUUUAGCUUUAGUGUUGUAGUUUACGCGUUAAAUACCCCGCCUGGGUAGUACAUAUGCAAAUAUGAAACUCAAAGGAAUUGACGGGGACCUGAACAAGUGGUGGAGCAUGUUGCUUAAUUCGAUAAUACACGAAAAACCUUACCAAGGUUUGACAUCCCUCGCAAAGCUAUAGAAAUAUAGUAGAGGUUAUCGAGGUGACAGGUGGUGCAUGGCUGUCGUCAGCUCGUGUCUUGAGAUGUUUGGUUAAGUCCCGCAACGAGCGCAACCCCACUCUUUAGUUACUUGUCUAAAGAGACUGCACAGUAAUGUAGAGGAAGGAUGGGAUCACGUCAAGUCAUCAUGCCCCUUAUGCCUUGGGCUGCAAACGUGCUACAAUGGCGAACACAAUGUGUUGCAAACCAGCGAUGGUAAGCUAAUCACCAAAUUUCGUCUCAGUUCGGAUAGGAGGCUGCAAUUCGCCUCCUUGAAGUUGGAAUCACUAGUAAUCCCGUGUCAGCUAUAUCGGGGUGAAUCCGUUCCCAGGUCUUGUACACACCGCCCGUCAAACUAUGAGAGGAGUGGGCAUUUAAAAAUACAUUUAUUUGUAUCUAGAGUGAACAUUCUGAUUGGAGUUAAGUCGUAACAAGGUACCCGUACGAGAACGUGCGGGUGGAUAAUCUUCAAAUUACGAGAUGAUAGGGCCUUUUUAGGUUUUAUUUAGUAGAGGUUGUAACUAGAAUAAAUUCAAAUUGUUUAAUGUAAAUUUGAAAGUUUCUAGGCGGAUGAUUUUCAGUUUUGAGAAAGCUAGAACUUUCUCAGUUUGCUUUUUGAAAGGAAAAGAUAAUAACCGAGUUAACUUAGAUAGUUAAUCAUACGUAAAUUAUUAAGAGCUAAAGGUGGAUUUCUUGGAAAUGGUAGGCUAUGAAGGACGUGCCAAUCUGCGAUAAGCUAGGGGUAGCCGAUAAGGGGCUUUAAUCCCUAGAUUUCCGAAUGUAGAAAUACAACAUUUCGAAAGAUUUGUUACUUGUCGGCCAAUUCAUAACCGGCAAGGGUGAACUUCGUGAAGUGAAACAUCUCAGUAGCGAAAGGAAAAGAAAGAGAAUUCGAUUCCCUCAGUAGUGGUGAGCGAAAGGGGACCAGGCCAAACCGGUUUUACCGGGGUUGUAGGACAUUUAUAUGGAAUCAGAAGUAUAGGAGAAGUCUUUGGAAAAAGACGGCAUAGAGGGCGAUCCCCCCGUAUCCGAAAUGCUUUUGAUUGCUGAGUGUAUCCUGAGUAGGGCGGGACACGUGUAAUCCUGUCUGAAUCUGCCCAGACCAUUGGGUAAGCCUAAAUACUAACCAUUUACCGAUAGUGACCAAGUACUGAA